GCACAGCUGACGAGUCCCAAAUAGGACGAAAUGCGCAUCCUGGAU
rnacentral:hammerhead_ribozyme from 1 species